rnacentral:tRNA from 1 species
GUUGGUAGAGCAUCUGACUGUUAAUCAGGGUGUCGACGGUUCGAGUCCGCCUACCGGAG